GCCCCUGUAGCUUAAUGGAUAAAGCACUGGUCUUCGGAACCAGCUAUGGGGGUUCGAUUCCCUCCAGGGGCGCUA
rnacentral:tRNA from 1 species